CCCUUAGAUGUCCUGGGCCGCACGCGCGCUACACUGAUGCAUGCAACGAGUUUAUAACCUUGGCCUGAAAGGUCUGGGUAACCUUUUGAACGUGCAUCGUGAUAGGGAUAGAUUAUUGCAAUUGUUAAUCUUGAACGAGGAAUUCCUAGUAAACGCGAGUCAUCAGCUCGCAUUGAUUACGUCCCUGCCCUUUGUACACACCGCCCGUCGCACCUACCGAUUGAAUGGUUCGGUGAAGAUCUCGGACUUCGAUAUUUAUUCUUUAUUGAGUUUAUAUUGUGGGAAGUUAUCUAAACCUCAUCAUUUAGAGGAAGGUGAAGUCGUAACA
rnacentral:rRNA from 1 species